rnacentral:lncRNA from 1 species
UAAAAUUACCUAAUAGUGGGUUGCCUCCCACUCAACGCUUUGUUAUAGUCAUUUAGCUUGACUAUGGAGGUAUGUGGCUAGUUGGUGGAAAGACAGCUACUUGUUGGGAAACAAGCAUCCACCUCAUCUGUGCACAUUCUCGACCAAGCUGCAAUGAAACUUCUUGUGGCCUCAUCGUUUCUGGUCCAUCUCUCAUCCAUUUUCUGUAUUGCAUUUGAGAUGUUCUGUAGCCGUUCUUGGAUGUCCUCCAUCCUGGAUUGAUGCCAUCCUAUCUUGUUGUAGGCGUAUGGUGAUAGCUCAUUUAGUUCCCUAUGCAUUAACUCCACUUUGUUCUAUCUCAACUGCUCGUCGUCUGGUGUAGACGUGGUAUCGAUCGAUGCAACCAAGUGUCUAUCGAUCGUUACUGGUGCAGUACUGUCGAUCGAUUUGUAGUGUGUUCUAUCGAUCGAU